AUACUUACCUGGCAGGGACGAUACCAUGAUCAAGAAGGUGGUUCAUCUACGGCGAGGUCCUGCCAUUGCACUUCGGCGGGUACUGACCUGUAUGAAUUCCCCAAAUGUGGGAAUCUCAACUGCACAAUUUAUGGUAGUGGGGGACUGCGUUCGCGCUCUCCCCUG